CGCAACUGCAGGAGUUGCACUUGUCCAGAAGGCACACGGAGGAGUAGGAACGAAGCGUUUUGCAAACGACCGCCAGAAGACUGUAGCACCACUCCAGCAACGACUGAAACGGAGCAACCAACAACAGAGUCAACGACAGCAGUCAGCCCAACAAAAUCUACAACUGAAUCAACAACAGCGGAAACUACCACUCCAUCCUUUUGUGACGACAACUGCGUCUGUCCGGUGAACUGUGAUGGUAAACUCCUGAACAAAGCCUGCCGACGUCAGGUUCCUCGCAAAUGCAGGAGUUGCACUUGUCCAGAAGGCACACGGAGGAGUAGGAACGAAGC